rnacentral:snRNA from 10 species
CUUAUCAGUUUAAUAUCUGAUACGUCCCCUACCCGGGGACCAUAUAUUAAAUUGAUUUUGGAACUGGGAGAUGGAAAAGGGGCUUGCUCCGUCCACUCCACGCAUCGACCUGGUAUUGCAGUACCUCCAGGAACGGUGC